AGGCGACGUGAUCGACAUCACCUAAUUUUGUUUGUUUUCGUCACUCUUAUUUUGGGGGUAGGUGGGUCGAAGCCACUAUUUACUUAUUGUGUAUACUCAAAAUUCGUAUAAGUUGAUGAAGUUUUAGUUCGAAUAAACCGUUUGAGCAGCACUCAAUUAUCGACAAAACGCCGAACUAUAGUUAACGGAAAUUAUAAAUUCCUAC